rnacentral:rRNA from 1 species
GAUGAACGCUGGCGGCGUGCUUAACACAUGCAAGUCGAACGAAGCACCUUGAUUCGAUUCUUCGGAUGAGAAUCUUGUGACUGAGGGGGGGGCGGGUGAGUUAAGGCGGGGUUACCCUGCCUAAUCAGGGGGGAAAACGGUUGGAAAUGACUCCUACUACCGAAUAGAACAACACAACGGCCUGGGGAGGGGGUAAAACCUCCGGUGGUAUGAGCUGAACCCGCGUCUGAUUAGGUAGUUGGUGGGGUAACGGCCUACCAAGCCGACGAUCAGUAGCCGACCUGAGAGGGUGACCGGCCACAUUGGGACUGAGACACGGCCCAAACUCCUACGGGAGGCAGCAGUGGGGAAUAUUGCACAAUGGGGGAAACCCUGAUGCAGCGACGCCGCGUGAGCGAUGAAGUAUUUCGGUAUGUAAAGCUCUAUCAGCAGGGAAGAAAAUGACGGUACCUGACUAAGAAGCACCGGCUAAAUACGUG